UAAACUCAUAUUUGUUUGGAAUUCGAACGUGUGCCUACGUUUGCCGAUAGGAGCGCUGUUCCAACUCCAAGCAAAUUUGAGUUA
rnacentral:pre_miRNA from 1 species